AACGAACGCUGGCGGCAUGCCUAACACAUGCAAGUCGAACGAGACCUUCGGGUCUUUUGGCGCACGGUUUCGUAACGCGUGGUAACCUUCCCUUAUGUUCGGAAUAACUCCCCGAAUGGGGUGCUAAUACCGGUUAAUGUCUUCUGACCAAAGAUUUAUCGCCUUUGGUUGGUCCCGCAUUGGAUUAGCUAGUUGGUAGGGUAAAAGCAUACCAAGGCGACGAUCCAUAGAUGGUCUGAGAGGAUGAUCAGCCACACUGGGACUGAGACACGGCACAGACUACUACGGGAGGGAGCAGUGGGGAAUAUUGGAAAAUGGGCGAAAGACUGAACGAGCAAUGCGGGGUGAGUGAUGAAGGGCUUAGGGAAGUAAAGCUCUUUUAACCGGGAUGAUAAUGACAGUACCGGGAGAAUAAGCUCCGGCUAACUCCGUG
rnacentral:rRNA from 1 species